rnacentral:rRNA from 1 species
CCUACGGGUGGCAGCAGUGGGGAAUAUUGCACAAUGGGGGAAACCCUGAUGCAGCGACGCCGCGUGGGUGACGAAGUAUUUCGGUAUGUAAAGCCCUAUCAGCAGGGAAGAAGAUGACAGUACCUGACUAAGAAGCCCCUGCUAACUACGUGCCAGCAGCCGCGGUAAUACGUAGGGGGCAAGCGUUAUCCGGGUUUACUGGGUGGAAAGGGAGCGGAGGUGGCAUGGCAAGCCAGAAGUGAAAACCCGGGGCUUAACCCCGCGGAUUGCUUUUGGAACUGUCAGGCUGGAGUGCAGGAGGGGCAGGCGGAAUUCCUGGUGUAGCGGUGAAAUGCGUAGAUAUCAGGAGGAACACCGGUGGCGAAGGCAGCCUGCCGGAGCGUUACUGACGCUGAAGCUCGAAAGCGCGGGUAUCGAACAGGAUUAGAUACCCCAGUAGUC